rnacentral:rRNA from 1 species
GAUGAACGCUGGCGGCGUGCCUAAUACAUGCAAGUCGAGCGAACAGAUAAGGAGCUUGCUCCUUUGAAGUUAGCGGCGGACGGGUGAGUAACACGUGGGUAACCUACCUAUAAGACUGGAAUAACUUCGGGAAACCGGAGCUAAUGCCGGAUAACAUAUAGAACCGCAUGGUUCUAUAGUGAAAGAUGGUUUUGCUAUCACUUAUAGAUGGACCCGCGCCGUAUUAGCUAGUUGGUAAGGUAAAGGCUUACCAAGGCGACGAUACGUAGCCGACCUGAGAGGGUGAUCGGCCACACUGGAACUGAGACACGGUCCAGACUCCUACGGGAGGCAGCAGUAGGGAAUCUUCCGCAAUGGGCGAAAGCCUGACGGAGCAACGCCGCGUGAGUGAUGAAGGUUUUCGGAUCGUAAAACUCUGUUAUUAGGGAAGAACAAAUGCGUAAGUAACUGUGCGCAUCUUGACGGUACCUAAUCAGAAAGCCACGGCUAACUACGUGCCAGCAGCCGCGGUAAUACGUAGGUGGCAAGCGUUAUCCGGAAUUAUUGGGCGUAAAGCGCGCGUAGGCGGUUUCUUAAGUCUGAUGUGAAAGCCCACGGCUCAACCGUGGAGGGUCAUUGGAAACUGGGAAACUUGAGUGCAGAAGAGGAAAGUGGAAUUCCAUGUGUAGCGGUGAAAUGCGCAGAGAUAUGGAGGAACACCAGUGGCGAAGGCGACUUUCUGGUCUGUAACUGACGCUGAUGUGCGAAAGCGUGGGGAUCAAACAGGAUUAGAUACCCUGGUAGUC